UAAUUUAUUGUUUACAAUUUAACGAAGCCACAAGAACACUUAUCCGCCUAAUCUAUUUCGGAAAUUGCUCUGGUCCAAGAUUGGGUUUCAGAAUCCGCAUGCAUGAACUAACCUUACUAGAAUAGUACACCCAACAGAAACAACUCAAACCAAAAGUAGAGCACCACAACCAAACAUAGACACCAACCAAAUGAAACCAUUGGAUAUAUAGGAUAAAACGACACGUCCCAAGUAGAGAGGAAACUCCAGAAGGACGCAGAAGAAACCACGUUGCUGCACAGACGCUUGAGCACAAGCAGAAAAACUAGCCAGAGCACCUCUGAAGUAAAAAAAUUAAUUUGCUUUUUAUAAUAUAAAGGAGUUGAAUUUUAUUUUAACUAUAUUCUAUUUUGGAAUAAAAAUUAGAGUAACGAAUAAAAGAUAAAUAUAUUAUUCUAUUUUUGAAAUAAUCAAACUUUUUUACUUCAUUAUAUAAUGAAAAAUGGAAUAGGAUCCGAGAUAAUUUCACUUCAAAUUCCAUUUUGGAGUAGAAGCUAAAUUAGGGUUAGAGAUACUCUUAGUGCAGCAUUAGACGACAUGACAUAAAACCACAUAGAAGAAACACAGAGAUCUACGCCUUCAAACUAGACAUCCUCUACGGUUGCAGCCGGGAAGCAAACGCCAUCACCCUUGUACAACUUAUGAUGCGCCGAUAUAACACUCCAGCUCCAGAACCAGAAAUCACCUUGGCCAAAUAGCUCACUAUCGAUCGGUCUCACUGCACAUAUAUAUAUACGGAAACAAAUUAAGCAUAAACAAAUCUCUCACUACGUUGGUGACAAAGCACUGGACACGGGAAAAUAGAGACAUGUGGCUCUUUUCUUCCUUGCACUCUUGUUUUUUUUUUUAGGUCGAACUCUUGAUUUUUAUAUUUUGUUUAAAAGGUUUUACUUUCAACAAUUAUGGUUCAUUCCACAACGUAAAUUAAAAAUCAACACAAUGGCUAGGUUCUCUCCAGCAGUUGAUACCUAAGCUUUUAAAAAUACUGAGAAACUGCCAUGUCAAUAAAUGAAAAAAGUUGAGAAGCCAAUCAAAACAUUUUAUUUAUACACAUCACAUUUAAUAUCGAUAGAUAAGCAUGUAAGCUCGAGAAUCUUCUUCAUCCUCUCCAAAUCCAGCGACCAUCGUUCUCAUGAGGUUUUGAUCUUUAUCUGAAGUAAGAUUUAAUCGAAAAGACAAAGCAUAGGGGUCCUACGACGAAGGAUUAAUCAGGAAGGGGAAGAAAUAAGCCGAUUAGAACCAAGAACGUAGUCGGAAAUGCAUUGAUUUGAUGGGGUAAAGAAAGGGAUACAUAAUGCAUAAACGCCAAGAUCUAAGAUUUGUUGAUUUUGAAAGAAUUUGGGAAGAUAAUGAAGCAGAUGAUACACAGGAGAGAGAGAUGAUGACGCCUCUGUAAGAGAUGAUUCCGGAGGAGAUGAGUCCUAAUAUAAUAAUCACCCGGUCUCCUCAAGAGCUUCACUAUUCAUUUCAACAUUUGCUUGUUCUGUGAUUGAGUCUCUCGGCAGAAAAUCGUAGGUGAAAAAAAAUGGAAAAGGAGCGAAGAUGAUCAAGUGUCCAAAAAGACGAGUCAUGUCUUUUAAGGUUAUCAAGAGUGUUAGCUGAGGUUGAACAUAAAUUUGGAUGUUCUGCUCCUUUUUUUCUUGGGAUAUCUCAGAACAGCCUUGCAUCUUUCUAUGUUUUUCUUUGUGUGAAUGUUUGCAGAGAGGAAGCGAAGAUAGCAGCUUGGAAACAUAUGCACAAGGUUUGGGACAGUUGUGAGGAUGAAAAUAGAACCUGCCAUUAGAAAACUCGGGGUCCUCCGAUCCUUCACUUAUAUGAAAACUCACAAAAACCAAUCAAACCAUGAUGAUUCUACUGAAAUUUCUUUUUGCUUGAAUCACAUGUGAAGCUGGAGAAAAAGAAAUGAGCAUCACUGGAUAAGAUCUUGUACAAGCUUCAAACAACCAAGUUGAAAGCACGAGAGAUCUGGAGUUCAGUAUUCAGUGAUCAUGAACAAGAAAAAAAAGUUUUGACUAUAGAUCCCUGCAAUAAAACUGUAGCCCAACCGCUGUUGAAAAAACUUUCGACGAAUCAACUGUUCUUGCCGCAAAGUAUCAAAACCCCCAAAGGUCUUCAGGGUAAGUCUGUGCUAGAGUUUGUGAGCUUCAGAAGUGAAAGCAUAAAUGGAGAGAAAGCUUUUUAUAUUUAUCGUGUAUCCUUUAUCACAAUGCUUACACAUUCUGUUUUCUUCCAUCUCAAUAGCUACAACCCAAAAAGUUGGGAAAUGAGAUUCAUGACA